AUUGAACGCUGGCGGCAGGCCUAACACAUGCAAGUCGAACGAGUGGCGGACGGGUGAGUAAUGUCUGGGAAACUGCCAGAUGGAGGGGGGUAACUACUGGAAACGGUAGCUAAUACCGCAUACCAUCGGAUGUGCCCAGAUGGGAUUAGCUAGUAGGUGGGGUAAUGGCUCACCUAGGCGACGAUCCCUCGCUGGUCUGAGAGGAGGACCAGCCAAACUGGAACUGAGACACGGUCCAGACUCCUACGGGAGGUAGCAGUGGGGAAUAUUGCACAAUGGGCGCAAGCCUGAUGCAGCCAUGCCGCGUGUAUGAAGAAGGCCUUCGGGUUGUAAAGUACUUUCAGCGGGGAGGCGUUACCCGCAGAAGAAGCACCGGCUAACGCCGUGCCAGCAGCCGCGGUAAUAC
rnacentral:rRNA from 1 species